GAGUGAGGAUAAGAUUGAGAGAGAGGAUGAGAGGGAGUAGUAACAAAAGUGAAAACAAAAUCUUGAAAGUGAAAACAAUUUGAAAUAGAUUUCAAUUUUUAUUUUAUUUUCACUUUUGUUACCCCUCUUUUCCAUCCUUUCCUCUCAUCUUCCCUCUCAAUCUCAUCUUCACUCU
rnacentral:snoRNA from 1 species